CAAUAGCGUCUAUUAAAGUUGUUGCAGUUAAAAAGCUCGUAGUUGGAUUUCUGGUGGGAGCGAUCGGUCUGGCGCUUAGCGCGAGUACUUGCAUCGUCUCCGGCCAUCCUUGGGGAAAGUCUGUCUGGCAUUAAGUUGUCGGGCAGAGGAUCCUCAUCGUUUACUGUGAAAAAAUUAGAGUGUUCAAAGCAGGCUUAUGCCGUUGAAUAUAUUAGCAUGGAAUAAUAAGAUAGGACUUUGGUACUAUUUUGUUGGUUUGCGCACCAAAGUAAUGAUUAAUAGGGACAGUUGGGGGUAUUCGUAUUCCGUUGUCAGAGGUGAAAUUCUUGGAUUUACGGAAGACGAACUACUGCGAAAGCAUUUACCAAGGAUGUUUUCAUUAA
rnacentral:rRNA from 1 species